AACGAGGCCGACCUGCGGCUGAGUUACCUGCGGAGGGAUCAUUACAAGCGACCCCGGUCUAACCACCGGGAUGUUCAUAACCCUUUGUUGUCCGACUCUGUUGCCUCCGGGGCGACCCUGCCUUCGGGCGGGGGCUCCGGGUGGACACUUCAAACUCUUGCGUAACUUUGCAGUCUGAGUAAACUUAAUUAAUAAAUUAAAACUUUUAACAACGGAUCU
rnacentral:misc_RNA from 1 species